GGGUCUAAUACCGAAUAGGACUCCGGCCUUCAUGGGUUGGGGUGGAAAGCUUUUGCGGUGUGGGAUGGGCCCGCGGCCUAUCAGCUUGUUGGUGGGGUAAUGGCCUACCAAGGCGACGACGGGUAGCCGGCCUGAGAGGGUGACCGGCCACACUGGGACUGAGAUACGGCCCAGACUCCUACGGGAGGCAGCAGUGGGGAAUAUUGCACAAUGGGCGCAAGCCUGAUGCAGCGACGCCGCGUGAGGGAUGACGGCCUUCGGGUUGUAAACCUCUUUCAGCACAGACGAAGCGCAAGUGACGGUAUGUGCAGAAGAAGGACCGGCCAACUACGUGCCAGCAGCCGCGGUAAUACGUAGGGUCCGAGCGUUGUCCGGAAUUACUGGGCGUAAAGAGCUCGUAGGUGGUUUGUCGCGUUGUUCGUGAAAACUCACAGCUUAACUGUGGGCGUGCGGGCGAUACGGGCAGA
rnacentral:rRNA from 1 species